AGCCCAGUAAACAGAGAUAGGUCAAAGGAAGAUCGGUGACCAAAUCUCAACUAAAUUCCACCACGUGUUAACUGCGCAACGAGACAGGGGUACGUGUGAAGGGACAGAAAACGUCACCAACUUCACCGAUAGAAAAGCUAUCACCGGGAAGAUAUCGGACUCCACCGGAAACAAACCGGAACAGGAAGCCAGAAUAACAAAGCCACCGACCGCAAUCCCUUAACGAUUUGAAAACCAGUUUUCUCUCU
rnacentral:lncRNA from 1 species